UGGGGAAUCUUGCGCAAUGGGCGAAAGCCUGACGCAGCAACGCCGCGUGCGGGAUGACGGCCUUCGGGUUGUAAACCGCUUUCAGCAGGGACGCGGUACCUGCAGAAGAAGCCCCGGCCAACUACGUGCCAGCAGCCGCGGUAACACGUAGGGGGCGAGCGUUGUCCGGAUUUAUUGGGCGUAAAGAGCUCGUAGGCGGCUCGGUAAGUCAACUGUGAAAGCUCGGGGCUCAACUCGGAGAGGCCAGUUGAUACUGCUGGGCUAGAGUCCGGUAGGGGAGCGUGGAAUUCCUGGUGUAGCGGUGAAAUGCGCAGAUAUCAGGAGGAACACCAGCGGCGAAGGCGGCGCUCUGGGCCGGAACUGACGCUGAGGAGCGAAAGCGUGGGUAGCAAACAGGAUUAGAUACCCUGGUAGU
rnacentral:rRNA from 1 species